GAGAAGUUGGCAGCCUGCAAGCAGGAAGCAAUCCCCCACCAGACCUGACCCCGCUGGCACCCUGAUUUCGAACAUCCAGCCUCCAGAACUUAUCUUCCCAUCACAGCCAGCCUUUGAUCAACUGCAGCCAGCCCCCUGCAGCUUUCCUCUGGCCUCUACUCCUCCAGAAAGUCCUUACCGACAUCAACCAUGGUUCUGCUUUCGGACCUUCGCCCUUUCCCACAGAAGCAGACAGGAGAAGAGAAUAUUUAGACAAUAUCUCAACAAAACAAGAAAAAGCAGGCUGUUGAGAUAGAUGGAGAGCGUAGGGUGCAAUACCACAUGGAAGAAAGUCAUUCAGAGCAAGUGAUCUAGAAAUCUGCCUAGGAACUCCCCUCAAUAUUUCGAUCCAGAUGUUAACUGUGCACGGCUAUGGGAGAUGAUGUGAGGUCUGCAGAAAGACAACCAGCACGGGAGCUAUGAGCUGAACAGAGUUAGACGCCUCACAUGUCAGGAAAUGUGAGAUUUCCAAAGACCCAGAGUGGAGAGAACACAGUGAACAACUCAGACAUUUAACUGCAUCCUCAGGAUGGUCACUGAUGAGAAGGAAGUAGGCUCUGGACCAGGAGUGAUGUAUACUCUAGAAACUAACAAGCAACUGCCUUCCAGAACCAAAGCCAACACACCCGUCAUCUUGAAAGGAAAAUAAAAAUAGGCUCCUAACAAUCUAAACCUUGUAAAUUACUGGACAUGAGAAGAAGCAGUAAAAGGUGAGCCUGUAGCAGGC